ACUAUGCAUUAAUGUCAUGGCCACACAUAUGUCAGGUAGCAAGAAGAGAGGGCAGAAAAGCUUUGUUUUUGACCUGUAUGAUACCCAGCCAUCAACAGGACAACCUAAAGCUUAACACU